rnacentral:rRNA from 1 species
UACGGGGGGGGCAAGCGUUGUUCGGAAUUACUGGGCGUAAAGGGUUUGUAGGUGGCCUGCUAAGUCAGACGUGAAAUCCCUCAGCUUAACUGGGGAACUGCGUCUGAGACUGGUAGGCUCGAGGACAGGAGAGGAACGCGGAAUUCCAGGUGUAGCGGUGAAAUGCUUAGAUAUCGUCAAGAACACCGAUAGCGAAGGCAGCUUACUAGACUGUAACUGACGCUGAUGCACGAAAGUGUGGGGAUCAAACAGG